rnacentral:tRNA from 1 species
GUGGGUAUAGCUCAGUGGUAGCAUACAUGCCUAGCAUGCAUGAGGUCCUGGGUUCAAUCCCGAGUACCUCCA